rnacentral:piRNA from 1 species
UGAAACUGUGGCUAUGGAUCCCCUACAUCAAU